GAUGAACGCUGGCGGCGUGCCUAAUACAUGCAAGUCGAGCGAACAGACGAGGAGCUUGCUCCUCUGACGUUAGCGGCGGACGGGUGAGUAACACGUGGAUAACCUACCUAUAAGACUGGGAUAACUUCGGGAAACCGGAGCUAAUACCGGAUAACAUGUUGAACCGCAUGGUUCAACAGUGAAAGACGGUCUUGCUGUCACUUAUAGAUGGAUCCGCGCCGCAUUAGCUAGUUGGUAAGGUAACGGCUUACCAAGGCAACGAUGCGUAGCCGACCUGAGAGGGUGGUCGGCCACACUGGAACUGGGCCACGGUCCAGACUCCUACGGGAGGCAGCAGUAGGGAAUCUGCCGCAAUGGGCGAAAGCCUGACGGAGCAACGCCGCGUGAGUGAAGAAGGUCUUCGGAUCGUAAAACUCUGUUAUUAGGGAAGAACAAAUGUGUAAGUAACUAUGCACGUCUUGACGGUACCUAAUCAGAAAGCCACGGCUAACUACGUG
rnacentral:rRNA from 1 species